UACGUAGGGUGCAAGCGUUGUCCGGAAUUAUUGGGCGUAAAGAGCUCGUAGGCGGUUUGUCGCGUCGGGAGUGAAAUCCACUGGCUUAACUGGUGGCUUGCUUUCGAUACGGGCAGACUGGAGGUAUGCAGGGGAGAACGGAAUUCCUGGUGUAGCGGUGAAGUGCGCAGAUAUCAGGAGGAACACCGGUGGCGAAGGCGGGUCUCUGGGCCGAUACUGACGCUGAGGAGCGAAAGCGUGGGAGCGAACAGG
rnacentral:rRNA from 1 species